GGCGGCGUGCUUAACACAUGCAAGUCGAACGGGAAAUAUUUCAUUGAGACUUCGGUGGAUUUGAUCUAUUUCUAGUGGCGGACGGGUGAGUAACGCGUGGGUAACCUGCCUUAUACAGGGGGAUAACAGUCAGAAAUGACUGCUAAUACCGCAUAAGCGCACAGGACCGCAUGGUCCGGUGUGAAAAACUCCGGUGGUAUAAGAUGGACCCGCGUUGGAUUAGCUUGUUGGUGGGGUAACGGCCCACCAAGGCGACGAUCCAUAGCCGGCCUGAGAGGGUGAACGGCCACAUUGGGACUGAGACACGGCCCAGACUCCUACGGGAGGCAGCAGUGGGGAAUAUUGCACAAUGGGGGAAACCCUGAUGCAGCGACGCCGCGUGAAGGAAGAAGUAUCUCGGUAUGUAAACUUCUAUCAGCAGGGAAGAUAGUGACGGUACCUGACUAAGAAGCCCCGGCUAACUACGUGCCAGCAGCCGCGGUAAUACGUAGGGGGCAAGCGUUAUCCGGAUUUACUGGGUGUAAAGGGAGCGUAGACGGUGUGGCAAGUCUGAUGUGAAAGGCAUGGGCUCAACCUGUGGACUGCAUUGGAAACUGUCAUACUUGAGUGCCGGAGGGGUAAGCGGAAUUCCUAGUGUAGCGGUGAAAUGCGUAGAUAUUAGGAGGAACACCAGUGGCGAAGGCGGCUUACUGGACGGUAACUGAACGUUGAGGCUCGAAAGCGUGGGGAGCAAACAGG
rnacentral:rRNA from 1 species